rnacentral:lncRNA from 1 species
AUGGCGAACCUUCAACCUCAUCCUCUCUGGUUCAUCCCGCCGGGGCAGCACUUGCAUCCGGCUGGUCCAAAUCACCGUCGAAGGGUUGACACGGUAAACUUCAUUCCUACUCCAAUGCGGCAUGAGGAUUUUGUGCUAGCUAUUGUUCAUCCUGCUUUACCUGAAGACCUUUGGGAUGAACAUAGGGCUGAGAUUACUAAGGUUUGGUACAAGGAUCUAUACUCAGUGCCCCAAUUUGUUGUUUGGGAGCAGCCUAAUGCUCCAAAUGUCUUGGACCAUUAUGUUUAUAUUUUGAAUGGUGAAUUUGCUGAUAUUUUACCACCUGAUGAUGAUUUGCCACAUGGUGAGGGGCCUGUCGAUCCAAAUGUUGAGGAUGCACCAGCCUGGCAGUUUGGAAAUGAACAGCAGCAGCAUAAUCAGCAGAAUCCAAAUUGGGGAGCUUGGGAGGAUAAUCAGGGAGGUAAUCAGGUCGAUGAACAUCUUAUGCCUCUUGUCCCACAGUUGUUGAUUGAUUUGCAAGCAAGCUCUGCAAGCUCUCUAUCUACCUACCCUUCUGCUAGCUCUGCAAGUAUUGCGGAUUCGGCAGUCAGCAUAUCUACUGAUGAACAGACUUUAACCUCUCCAGACAAGAGUAUUGUGGUUCAUAAGGAUUCUGUUCAUGCUGACUUAUAUAAUUAUCUUUGUGAGAGGUUUCCCCAUACCAUGUUUGAUAAACACUUUACUCAAGAUUCUUCCUUUUGGGCUGCUCUCAGUAUUGGACCAUAUAUGCCUGGUGAAUCAUCUUCUUCUAGGCAGCAUCUGGGCUAUAGUCAGGGAAUGGAAUCGGAAUUGCCA